rnacentral:lncRNA from 1 species
CACAUACCAGUUUUCCCUUCAUAAUACAAAGCAGAGCAACGAAUUCUCGAAUUCAGAAUUGGGAAAAAAAUUAGGGCUCGAUUCUCCUUGGUGCGAUUCUCCUUUGGUGCGAUUUUGUUGCUCCUUUGGUGCGAUUGACUUUACUUGGCUGAUUUGCUGCCCCAAUUUUGGUAUGUAAAGACUAUGACAAGUUGAUUCGACUGCAUCCUUUUCGUUUUUGCUCCUCCUUACUACUGUCUAGUGUUUUCAUGAAUUCUUCAUCUGGAGUUUUUGUUCAUGGAGAUGACAUAUAUGAGAUAUCUUCAUCUCAUCAAAUAUAAUGGCAAAUGCCUCAUCUUCCUGUGCAAUGCUACUGUGGAAUAACAUCACGGAUGUGGGAAGCUUGGAAGGCUGGAACAUUACACCUUGAUCGGAGGUUUGUAGGAUGCAAUAGAUACAAGGUAUAAAUUAUCCCAUUUCAUGUUUGUAUAAUUACUUAUAUAAAUUAUCCCAUACAAGCUUAGAUGCAGUAGAUACAUUUUCUUAAAUUACUUAUAUAAUUUUUUUUCUACACAUGAUAAGAAUGGUUAUUUUGAUAUUUUUAAAUGGUAUGAUGCCCCCUUUUACUACAAGGUCAAAGGAGGUUAUUGAUCGAUUAAUAAAUGCACUGCACAAAAUUGAUGGAAUGUUUAACAUUUUAGUUAGGCAUGAAGUGGAAAUCAAGGAAUUGGAGAGGGAAGUUAAGACAUAGAAGAGUGCAAUUAACAAAGUUACAACUAGAGAGGCUAAGUUAAUUUUGUUGCUUGUCAUAUCUUGGGUUUUAUGUUUUCUCAUCAUGUAUAUGAAGUGAAUUAGGAGAAUUAAAAUGAAUUUAAUGGAUUGAUUUUGGUAUGUAGUGGAUUUUUUGGCUGCUCUCUGUUGGUUUAUGCUUGUCAUAUAUGCUUUAUGUUGGGAAUGUAAUGCUUGUAAUGAAGGCUGAAUUGAAAUGAAUUUUGAGUUUGUUGGAAAUGUAAUAAUUGUAAUUUAGUUGUUGUAAUGCUCUGUGUUAUGAAUUUUCCUUUGAAUAAAAUCAGUUGGGAUUGUAAUAAGGUUUGAAUGAAUAUAAUAAGGCUUGAAUGAAUUGCAAAUAGGUUUGAAUGAAUGUAAUAAGGUUUGAAUGAAUGAAUUGUAAUAAGGUUGAAUGAGGCAAUUCCUUUUCUAAUGAAUUGUAACAAUGUGCAUAGUAUACUCUUAGUCCGU